ACAGCAAUGACCAUAUCCUGGGUGUCCU
rnacentral:piRNA from 1 species